rnacentral:rRNA from 1 species
GAGUUUGAUCGUGGCUCAGAAUGAACGCUGGCGGCAUGCCUAACACAUGCAAGUCGAACGAAGGCUUCGGCCUUAGUGGCGCACGGGUGCGUAACGCGUGGGAAUCUGCCCUUGGGUUCGGGAAUAACAGUUAGAAAUGACUGCUAAUACCGGAUGAUGUCGUAAGACCAAAGAUUUAUCGCCCAAGGAUGAGCCCGCGUAGGAUUAGCUAGUUGGUGGGGU